AGGUGAUAAUUAUUCACUCGUAGGGUUACAUUAUGCUGUUAGGUUUGGAUUGACACCGCAUAUGAUGGACAUCCUGAAAGUAAUUGCAUAUUGGUCCUAGGAUGAAGCUCGCGGUAGGCUCUGCAGCUGAUAUAUCCCACACUUAUCAGAUGUCAAGCACAUAGCCUUAGCUGCCUCUGUGAUUACAUUAAAUGUGGCCCUGUGAACAAAGUAUUUUCUAAUUGAUAUAACUGGCUUCUUUACAUUCUGUACGAUUUCGAAGGCCGCCCUUUAGAGAAAUAUUUCUACGUUUGGUCAGUGCAGGUAAGAAGUGAAUCAGCCUUGCACCACUGCUGAGACUUGACGGGUCAAAACAAAGUGGUCUGGCGUUGUAUCACAAGAUCAUCUGGUUGCCUUGCAGUGAAAGAUAGAGGGCGAAUACCGUUCAGCAGUCGAUGUCUAAGCUCAGCUUUGUAAAUGACCGCCUUGGGGAGCUUCGUUUCUGCCGAUUCCAUUUAUGGCAUCUUCCUUGGGUGACGUGUAAUUACCUUUGCAUUAUGUUAUUAGGGAAAUGAGAUUUUCUGUAAAAAUAUUUGCGAAUAAGUAAUCACAAACACCUGUCUGAAAAUGUAUCGAAAGGAAUUAAAAAAAUAGAAUAACUGAAGAA